AGCAUAUCAAUAAGCGGAGGAAAAGAAACUAACAAGGAUUCCCCUAGUAACUGCGAGUGAAGCGGGAAAAGCUCAAAUUUAAAAUCUGUCAGUCUUUGGCUGUCCGAGUUGUAAUCUAGAGAAGUGUUAUCCGCGCUGGACCGUGUACAAGUCUCCUGGAAUGGAGCGUCAUAGAGGGUGAGAAUCCCGUCUUUGACACGGACUGCCAGGGCUUUGUGAUGCACUCUCAAAGAGUCGAGUUGUUUGGGAAUGCAGCUCAAAAUGGGUGGUAAAUUCCAUCUAAAGCUAAAUAUUGGCGAGAGACCGAUAGCGAACAAGUACCGUGAGGGAAAGAUGAAAAGAACUUUGGAAAGAGAGUUAAACAGUACGUGAAAUUGCUGAAAGGGAAACGCUUGAAGUCAGUCGCGUUGUCCAGGGAUCAACCUUGCUUUUGCUUGGUGUACUUUCUGGUUGACGGGUCAGCAUCAAUUUUGACUAUUGGAAAAAGAUUGAGGGAAUGUGGCAUCUUCGGAUGUGUUAUAGCCCUUGGUUGCAUACAAUGGUUGGGAUUGAGGAACUCAGCACGCCGCAAGGCCGGGUUUUUAACCACGUACGUGCUUAGGAUGCUGGCAUAAUGGCUUUAAUCGACCCGUCUUGAAACACGGACCAAGGAGUCUAACAUGCCUGCGAGUGUUUGGGUGGAAAACCCGAGCGCGUAAUGAAAGUGAAAGUUGAGAUCCUUGUCAUGGGGAGCAUCGACGCCCGGACCAGACCUUUUGUGACGGUUCCGCGGUAGAGCAUGUAUGUUGGGACCCGAAAGAUGGUGAACUAUGCCUGAAUAGGGUGAAGCCAGAGGAAACUCUGGUGGAGGCUCGUAGCGAUUCUGACGUGCAAAUCGAUCGUCAAAUUUGGGUAUAGGGGCGAAAGACUAAUCGAACCAUCUAGUAGCUGGUUCCUGC
rnacentral:rRNA from 1 species